rnacentral:rRNA from 1 species
CCUACGGGAGGCAGCAGUGAGGAAUAUUGGUCAAUGGGCGCGAGCCUGAACCAGCCAAGUAGCGUGAAGGAUGACUGCCCUACGUAUUGUAAACUUCUUUUAUAAGGGAAUAAAGUGGGGCACGUGUCCCCUUUUGUAUGUACCUUAUGAAUAAGGAUCGGCUAACUCCGUGCCAGCAGCCGCGGUAAUACGGAGGAUCCGAGCGUUAUCCGGAUUUAUUGGGUUUAAAGGGAGCGUAGGCGGGCUGUUAAGUCAGUUGUGAAAGUUUGCGGCUCAACCGUAAAAUUGCAGUUGAUACUGGCAGGCUUGAGUUGAGUAGAGGUAGGCGGAAUGCGUGGUGUAGCGGUGAAAUGCUUAGAUAUCGCGCAGAACUCCGAUUGCGAAGGCAGCUUAC